UUUACUUUUUACAUAUAAUUUUUGACUCUUCGUCUUAUUUAAAAAAAAUGAUUAAUAUUUUUGUUUUCAUUAUAUGAUAAAUCAUAAAUAGUACUUAACAUGCGACUAAUUUUUUUUCAAUUUUUUAAAAAAAUUUAAAAUAAGACAGAUGGUCAAACGGUGUACAGGGAAACCAAAGAGUUGGUUUAUC
rnacentral:pre_miRNA from 1 species